ACCGCGAACGGGAGGAGCGUGCGGUUCAAUUGGAUUCAACGCCGGACAACUCACCAGGAGCGACGGUUACAUGAAGGCCAGGCUGAUGACCUUGCCUGAUUUUCCGAGAGGUGUGCAUGGCCGUCGUCAGUUCGUACCGUAAGGCGUUCUCUUAAGUGAGAUAACGAACGAGACCCUCACCGCUAAUUGCUAGUGUUCUCUCCGGAGGGCACGCACAUUAACGGGACCGCUGUCGCUAAGACAGAGGAAGGAGAGGUCAACGGUAGGUCCGUAUGCCCCGAAUCUCCUGGGCUACACGCGCGCUACAAAGGUUGGGACAAUGGGCUCCGACAUCGAAAGGUGAAGGCAAUCUCGAAACCCAAUCGUAGUUCGGAUUGAGGGUUGUAACUCACCCUCAUGAAGCUGGAUUCCGUAGUAAUCGCUUGUCAACAUCAAGCGGUGAAUAUGCCCCUGCUCCUU
rnacentral:rRNA from 1 species